GUCCCGUUGGCCGAGCAGCUCAGGCGGCGGUCUGCAACACCGCAGAGACUGGUGCGACUCCAGUACGGGUCUCCA
rnacentral:tRNA from 1 species